CGCUUCUCAUUUACGUUGAUUUUCACUUCUCAUUCCUCAAAUCUUUCUCAGCUUUUUAAGCCGAUUUCAAUUUCAAUUUAUUGAGGUAUUUGAUUCUAUCACUAAUGCUACUUUCUCGUUAUUGUGUGACAUUAAUCGUGGUACUUUUCAAUUCGUUUCUCUGGUUCACUUGAUUUUGUGUUUGUUUAGAGUCAUAGAUUUGAGUUGAUGCUAAUUUUAACUUUGCUUAGGGUUUUGAAUGUCCAAUUUGUUGUUGUGUAUGUUUAGGAAAUGACGUUUCUGACUUGAUCUCACAUACUACGUGUGAUAUUGCUGGUCAUAGUCACCAACUUAAAGGUUGUUAGUCUUGGUAGUUAGUUUUUGUUUAGGUGUAUUUGGAUUUCUCUCUAUUGUUUAAAACUUGCUUUUGGGAGAACUUGCUUUUGCAAAUAACUCAAUUAGUUGAGCUGCAACACUAUGAGAAGUUGAGUUUGAGAAAGAAGUUCAAACCUGAAACUCUAAUUAUUACCACAAUAUAUUAACAAUUGACAUUGAAAAGGGUAAUAUAUCUCCAGAUUCCUUCAACUAAACCAUAGAAAAUAGCAAAGCGCUUUUGUUCGAUAUCUGUCAUUAUGCAAAUUAUGCGAUGGCGGAACUUUUUGUACAUGAAGAAUCACAUUAUUCCCUCUGUUUCACAUUUCUUCGAUGGCGGAACUUUUUGUACAUGAAGAAUCACAUUAUUCCCUCUGUUUCACAUUUCUUGCUUUUCAUUCCACUCCUUGUUCCUGUCAUAAAUGGAACAGUAACCCUGUGAGUUUUCAAUUUCUUAUUUCAUUCGCAUUGUUUGUUGAGUAAUGAGGGAAAUAGGGUAGAAUUUCAUUCUGUAAUAGUAUAUUGAUUAGUUAGAAACAGUUACAAAAUAGGAGAAGUUUUACAUACAUACUUAAAGUUACAAACUCUGCUGGCAUAAUUCUAUUUUAUUUUAGUGAAUUUAGAACUUUUUUGUUUUGUGAAUUUGUUAUGAUUAUCUGCAACUUUGACUGAAAAGGUUGGAAAUUAAUGCAAUAUUUUUUUGGGGUCCUUGCAGGAUAUAGGAGGACAUAAACCAUCUAAGGUAUGUCUUGUAACAUUUAAUUUUAGAAAUCACACAAAUUAUGAUAUAUAGCAUUGUUUGUCAGAUUAUGAUACUUCUAGGUUGUAUUAGGAAUAACUUUUUAGUAAAAAUGGCAGAAGGUUAAACACAGCAUAAUGGCAUACCAGAAAGUACUCCAAUUAAUAAAUACUCAACCCAUUCAUUUUUGGGAAUAUUAGGAAUGUCCAGCAUGAUUUCCCAUCAUUUGAAUUUGAAAAAAUAGCUGAAAAUUUUCAUGUUGACCUAAAUAAAUCAUUAAAUUCCCUGUUCUGUCAAUUGAGCUAUGUUGCAAUGCUACAAAGUAUUCCAAUAACAAUUUAUCACAUAAAAUUGUGCACAAACAUAUUUCCCACUCGUCUACAUGGUAGAGAAAAUGCAAACAGAAAGCAAACAUAUGCUCUACACCAUGCAGACACAUGAUAUGCUUGUUACUGGUAUGAGCUGAAAAAGCCAGCUGUUGGACAAAAUCAAAUAAAUAAACCUGGCCACGUCUUGUGGAAAGGACAAACUGAUGCUUCCAAACUUCAGAUGAAAAGCCUUAUGAAUCACAAUUGAAUUCCUUACAUUGUCUGACAGGUUUUAUACAUAAAUAUGUGUGCAGCCAAUUGAAGAUGUCCCUCUUAUAUUGUCAUUCUCAUCUUAUUUUCCAAGCCAAAUCUAAGUUACUGACAAGCACUGUGCAUUGUGAUUAGCAGGAUAACAUAGAGACCAGUUACAGCUAAAUGCCAAACAAAUUCUCUAGUUAUAGACUUUUUUAAUGUCUA
rnacentral:lncRNA from 1 species